ensembl:lncRNA
AAACGCCGUUAACUAAUAUUCGAUGAUAUUUUAGUCCGAGUCUAAUUGACUAAAAUGAAUAAAUAUGACGACCAAAAACUGACUAAAUUUAAAGGAUAUUUUUGCCAGAGGAAAUUAAACAAAACAUUUUUCGCCAUACCAAUUCCAGUGUCUGAAUAUUCUUAAGAAUUAAAAGUUCUUUGCACUUUGAAAGGGUGUACUUGCAUUAUUCUGUUAUUAUAUUAUCAUUAUAGCAGUGGAAUAAAAUGGUCUUAAAAUUGCAAUAAUAUCGUUUAUCGCAAUUAUUUCUGAGACAAUAUAUCGUCCAACAAAAGUGGUUAUCGUGUAGUGAACAUUGAACAGAACUUGUAGCUGAUGUCAUCCAGCACAGAAGAAUCACUAGAACACUUGGGUUUCAGCCAGAGGUGUGCACAUUGUUAACCAUUUAAAGUGUCAGUACUUGAAUCGUGAAAUCAGUGUCUGGUAGGUGAAAUAGUGUCUGGUAGGUAUAGUGAAUCGUGAAAUCAGUGUCUGGUAGAUGAAACAGUGUCUGGUAGGUAUAGUGAAUCGUGAAAUCAGUGUCUGGUAGGUAAAAUAGUGUCUGGCAGGUAUAGUGAAUCGUGAAAUCAGUGUCUGGUAGGUAUAGUGAAUCGUGAAAUCAGUGUCUGGUAGGUGAAAUAGUGUCUGGUAGGUAUAGUGAAUCGUGAAAUCAGUGUCUGGUAGGUGAAAUAGUGUCUGGCAGGUAUAGUGAAUCGUGAAAUCAGUGUCUGGUAGGUCUGUCGCGAUACCUAAAACUCGAUACGAUACAAUAACUGAAACUUAAUAAUGGCACGAAAUAAAAGACCGCGAAUUAAACAUUAGUCAAACCUUUCAAGGGGGUGUGUCUGAAGCGCGAGGCUUUUCCCGUUCUAACGUUUGUUAGUUGUUCUAUCAGAGUCACGCAGCUCUCUGUAGCCUUGGACGUGUUUUUGAAUCUUGUGUUCUGCACUACCAUAUACGGACUUUCCCAUCGCCAUGGUGAUUUCUUUAAUCUAGAUUGAAUAAGCAAGAAAAGCAGCAAAAAGUUUGUUUUGUGUGUGUUGCUUCAAGUUUACGUUUAGUUUUAUACACUGGCACAGAAGAGUGAUCUAGGGUGCGCCUCAAUCAGCACCCAAGUAGUCAGAAGUCAGGGCAACGAUCAGGGACUCGGCCAUUUUAAAGGCUGUCUCAAUUGCAAAAUCCUUCCGGUGCCCUGGAAUGUUUGGUCCCUAAAAAAAUCCCACAAUGCACCGCAAAAACCAAGAAGCAUCGAUGCUCACUAUGUUCCCUAACUGGAAAAGAUAUUGGUCCUGCCUGCUGUUGAUAAAUGCCAGUGGUGACGUUUUACAACCAUGUCACAGGGAACCGGGUCAUCGGUGUCCCAAUGUUUAAUGAGCCAGGGUCCUUACCAGUGCACGAACCCGUGUACACCAUAUACUGAUUCAUGACCUACAGAGCUGAUUGAGAUGCACCCAUAGAUUCGGUACACUGUAAACUCACCAGGAUGCCAAAGCGCUCUCAAAUGCCAAACCUCAAAGAGUGAAGCCACUGGUGUUUUUCCCCCCAAGCUUUCACACUAAAGCUAAUCCAAAAACAGCAUGCUUAGAAGAGGUGGGUUUUUUAAAAGCCCCAUAGACUCUCCUACUCUUUCAAGGAGGGAAUGCGGGCUCGAUUACGCUGAAAUGUUUAUUACACCACACAUAAUAUAUGCUGUAUUUUAUGACAAACAGCCUACUUUAUUAUGCAGACUGCUGAAUGUAUUUUUCCAUAUGCAGACGUAUCAAACCGAGAAGCCAUGUCAUUAUCCCCCUACUGCUCGUGUAUUUAGUAUUCCAUGCGUCUAUGUUCGAUCUGGGGAGGGAAAACCGUAAAAAGAGGCUGACUAUAGAAGAUAACGUAAAUAGUUGGCAGAGCAGAGAAAGGAAAUUGAGAACAAGCUCAAA